GGCCUGCUGGCCCAAUGGCAAGGCGCUUGACUACGACUUGUGUAGAAGUUCUUCAACUUCUUCAUUGUUGACAUCAAGAGAUUGCAGGUUCGAUCCCUGCGUAGGUCA
rfam:Botryotinia fuckeliana T4 unplaced genomic scaffold BcT4_SuperSuperContig_P_V3__V4, whole genome shotgun sequence.